rnacentral:lncRNA from 1 species
GAACAUAAUCAAUAAAAUCAUCAAAAGAGUCACACCGAUGAUGGUAAUAAUAGAGAAUUUUGGGGUGCUUACUAUGUAGCAGGCCAUGAACAGGUCAUGAGAACCAGAUUCAGCUGACUUUCAGUAGUAAUAACUCAUUUAUAAUCACGCCCUGUUCUAAUUCCACUAUGUGUAUUAACUGUUUCAAGGUGACAGAACCAAUAAGGUAGGCACCAUUAUGAUCACCACGUUACAGUGCACUUUAGCAGAUUGCCAUGCUCAUGGAGCUGGUGAGAGUGGACCUGGAUUUGAGUCUGGGAUCCAAAAAAAUUUUAAGAACCAACUGUACUUUACACAGUAAAAAUAAUUUUUACAAGGGUGAUAAUAACACUGAAUCUUAGGAGGGUGGAGAUCAAGAGGGCAGAGGAGGAAGACACUGGUCUCACCUCCCCUUACAGACAUGUGAUAAACCACAACUGCAUAUAUAGCAACCCUCACUAAAUUCUAUCUGAAGACCGGCAGAGCAGUGCCAGGAUCCUUAACCCACUGAGCGAAGCCGGGGAUCAAAGCUGCAUCCGCACAGACACUAUGUCGGAUUCUUAACCUGCUGAGCCAUAAAAGGAACUCCUCAAAAAUUUUUUUAAUGUGCUCUGUGUUUAAAAAAAAAAAACCCUGACUCCCAGACUCUAAGGAUACAUUCAGACAAAUCACAGUUUCUGGGGUUUACUUUCUUCAUCUGAAUGUUCUUUGUCCUAUGUACCGUGCAGAGUUAAUAUGACAAUGAAAUAAUAAUAGAUGAAGAGAAGCUUUGAUGAGCAUAAAGUGCUAUAUUGUUAUUAUGAUAACAUUGAAUGAUAUUUCUUCCAGCAGAGGCACUAUAGUAAAGGAAAAAAUCUAGCAUUUUGAGUAAUGUGUGUCUGAAAACUAUCACAAACUACAAAGGAAUGGGAAAUUAUCAAGGAAGAAUUAAAAUCAAAGCAAAGUUCUCUGUCAGGCAAGGUCAAGAUGACAAGUAAGUCAUUUCAUGAAUCCAUCUGAAUUCCAGGCAAGAAUUCCACUGAUCUUAAGUACCCAUUACAAAACACCAAUAUUUUAAGUGAAUACAUCAUUUGCGUAUUCAUCUUCUAAAGUAAUAUUAAUAAUAUUCCUACUACACCUAUUUACUUUCAAAGAAAGCAAAUCUAGUGUAAUAGCGAAACACAAAUAAUACUCUCAAUUAAAUCGUUCUGUAAAUAAUAAUACUCUGUGAUCUUGUUGCCAUGAAACAGAAACUUCAUUCUCCUGAUAUUCAGAGAAUGAAGAAGCUCAAAAAAUAAUGCAAGUUGAGUGUCCACUACUUACCAGACACAUUUUAUGCAUCAUCACUUUGAACACUGUGAGCUAGAAAUUAUUAUCCCUGUUUUACAGAGAAGGAAAUGGGGUUCAGAGAGAUAUAACCAAGGUCACAUAGCAGGUAGAUAUCAGAGAUGGGGUUAAAAUCUGGUCCCUCUGAUUCCAAGAUCAUUUUCCCCUUCAACACAUCUGCUGUUUCUACAAUUUGUUUAAAAAACUAAAUAAUUAAAAAUCAAUAAACUAAAAAACACCUGUUUUCAGUGAUAUAAGAUCAAAUCUAAGGUUUCAGUAUCUGAAACAAGCUCACAGUAAAUUUUUAAUAAGGAAAUAUUUCUAUAGCUAUCCCAGAAACUUACUUUUCUAAUUAAAUACAUAGGAGACACUUAAAAAAAGAAAAUCAGUUUUAGUAGAAGUAACUCUCAGUAAGUGGCAGUGUGAACGGAAAAUGAAAGAAAUAAUAUAACAUAAAUGAAAACAGCAGAAGCACUUAAUGGCUAAUAUUUAUUGACUGACAAUUGACCAGCCCUGAAAAAACACAAAGGUUAUAUUUAAUAAAAUGUUCUCUGCUCAAUAUUAUCUAUUUUUAGACUGAUCUUGAAAUAGCAAUGGCAAGUUUUGUAUUUUAAAACCAGGUAGAAGGAUGAGCGAGUUUCCUUGAGUGCUGGCAAAAAAGUUUUUUACCUUCGCUAGUUCUCUGCGGAUAACUCCCAAAUCAUUUGUUUCAUUUCAAUAAAUAAACCAUUCACGGAGUAUACUUCCCAUUCUUUAUUCAUCAACAGAAAACUACCACCUUCAAAAAUUCAUUUCCCUGAAUAUCCAUCCACUGCCAUUUCUUCAGGGACUGUGUAAAUGCGAUGCCAUACCAGCCUCCCAGGGUAGAAACUCCAAAGUGUUGCCAGGAGAUCUUUCAGGCCCAUGGCCCACAAUGCAAAUGGAAGCAGCACAGCCAACUAGGAAUUCCACCUGGAAAUCAAGAACUGGAUAGCUUAUGUGAGUAUAACGAAUUAUCCUCUUCUCCAAGUCCACAUCCCAUUUCCCAGAGGAGGUGUGAGUUGGUGUAGCAUCUUAAAGACAUAGGGAAGCUGGGAGUUCCCAUUGUGGCGCAGUGGAAACGAAUCCGACUAGGAACUAUGAGGUUGUGGGUUCGAUCCCUGGCCUUGCUCAGUGGGUUGGGGAUCUGGCAUUGCUGUGAUCUGUGGUGUGGGUCGCAGACUCGGCUUGGAUCUGAUUUUGUUGUGGUGUAAGCCAGCAGCUGUAGCUCUGAUUAGACCCCUAGCCUGGGAACCUCCAUAUGCCACAGGUGCAGCCCUAAAAAAAAAAA